GAUGAACGCUGGCGGCGUGCCUAAUACAUGCAAGUCGAGCGAACAGACGAGGAGCUUGCUCCUCUGACGUUAGCGGCGGACGGGUGAGUAACACGUGGAUAACCUACCUAUAAGACUGGGAUAACUUCGGGAAACCGGAGCUAAUACCGGAUAAUAUAUUGAACCGCAUGGUUCAAUAGUGAAAGACGGUUUUGCUGUCACUUAUAGAUGGAUCCGCGCCGCAUUAGCUAGUUGGUAAGGUAACGGCUUACCAAGGCGACGAUGCGUAGCCGACCUGAGAGGGUGAUCGGCCACACUGGAACUGAGACACGGUCCAGACUCCUACGGGAGGCAGCAGUAGGGAAUCUGCCGCAAUGGGCGAAAGCCUGACGGAGCAACGCCGCGUGAGUGAUGAAGGUCUUCGGAUCGUAAAACUCUGUUAUUAGGGAAGAACAAAUGUGUAAGUAACUAUGCACGUCUUGACGGUACCUAAUCAGAAAGCCACGGCUAACUACGU
rnacentral:rRNA from 1 species